GAAAUGCGAUAAGUAAUGUGAAUUGCAGAAUUCAGUGAAUCAUCGAAUCUUUGAACGCACCUUGCGCCCUUUGGCUAUUCCGAAGGGCAUGCCUGUUUGAGUAUCAUGAACACCUCAACUCUCAUGGCCUUGCCAUGAUGAGCUUGGACUUUGGGGGUCUUGCUGGCCUGUGGUCAGCUCCUCUCAAAUGAAUCAGCUUGCCAGUGUUUGGUGGCAUCACAGGUGUGAUAACUAUCUACGCUUGUGGUUUUCCACCAGGUAACCUUCGGUGACGAAGGUUCACUGGGGCUCAUAAAUGUCUCUCCUCAGCGAGGACAGCUCUUUAAACGUUUGAUCUCAAAUCAGGUAGGACUACCCGCUGAACUUAA
rnacentral:misc_RNA from 1 species